GGGAUAUUAGUUUAAUGGUAGAACAAAGCGUUUCGAAAGAAUCGAUGAUUAUGAAUAACAUUAAAUUCAGCAAGAACGAAGUUAUUAUAAUCCGCUUGAGCAUGGGUUCGAUUCCCAUAUAUUCCA
rnacentral:tRNA from 1 species